UGGGGAAUAUUGGACAAUGGGCGGAAGCCUGAUCCAGCAACGCCGCGUGAGGGAUGACGGCCUUCGGGUUGUAAACCUCUUUCAGUACCGACGAAGCGAAAGUGACGGUAGGUACAGAAGAAGGACCGGCCAACUACGUGCCAGCAGCCGCGGUAAUACGUAGGGUCCGAGCGUUGUCCGGAAUUAUUGGGCGUAAAGGGCUCGUAGGCGGUUUGUCGCGUCGGGAGUGAAAACGCGGCGUAUACUCGUUGCUUGCUUUCGAUACGGGCAGACUAGAGGUAUGCAGGGGAGAAUGGAAUUCCUGGUGUAGCGGUGAAAUGCGCAGAUAUCAGGAGGAACACCGGUGGCGAAGGCGGUUCUCUGGGCAUUACCUGACGCUGAGGAGCGAAAGUGUGGGGAGCGAACAGGAUUAGAUACCCUGGUAGUCCACACCGUAAACGUUGGGCGCUAGGUGUGGGGUCCUUUCCACGGAUUCCGUGCCGUAGCUAACGCA
rnacentral:rRNA from 1 species